GAUGAACGCUGGCGGCGUGCCUAAUACAUGCAAGUCGAGCGAACGGACGAGAAGCUUGCUUCUCUGAUGUUAGCGGCGGACGGGUGAGUAACACGUGGAUAACCUACCUAUAAGACUGGGAUAACUUCGGGAAACCGGAGCUAAUACCGGAUAAUAUUUUGAACCGCAUGGUUCAAAAGUGAAAGACGGUCUUGCUGUCACUUAUAGAUGGAUCCGCGCUGCAUUAGCUAGUUGGUAAGGUAACGGCUUACCAAGGCAACGAUGCAUAGCCGACCUGAGAGGAUGAUCGGCCACACUGGAACUGAGACACGGUCCAGACUCCUACGGGAGGCAGCAGUAGGGAAUCUUCCGCAAUGGGCGAAAGCCUGACGGAGCAACGCCGCGUGAGUGAUGAAGGUCUUCGGAUCGUAAAACUCUGUUAUUAGGGAAGAACAUAUGUGUAAGUAACUGUGCACAUCUUGACGGUACCUAAUCAGAAAGCCCCGGCUAACUACGUG
rnacentral:rRNA from 1 species